UGAAUAAUCGCGGUGGCAGGGCCCGAAAGGGUGCCACUGAGGAAAGUCCGGGCUUCAUAGGGCAGGAUGCCGGAUAACGUCCGGUGGAGGUGACUCCAAGGAAAGUGCAACAGAAAUAUACCGCCACGUUAGUGGUAAGGGUGGAAGGGCAGUGUAAGAGACUACCGCCUCGCUGGUAACAGAGAGGGCACAUGUAAACCCCAUCCGAAGCAAGACCGAAUUAAAGCAUAAGGCGGCCCGUCUGCUUUGGGUAGGUCGCGUGAGGUGUCUGGUAACAGACAUCCAAGAUAGAUGAUUAUUCUCGACAUAACCCGGCUUACAGUCCUGCUUAC
rnacentral:RNase_P_RNA from 1 species